rnacentral:rRNA from 1 species
AUGAAGCUGUAUUUUCUGUAUCCUGGGAAGGCACUAGCUGAUGGUUUGCUAUUUUUGUUUGAUGACAGUGGUGGUAUGAAUAUGGCAGACUACAUUUGCGUUGGAGAUGUAGCAGAUAUUUAUGUUGAAUAUCAUGGGGAGAAGGACAGUGAGUACAAUAGCAGUGGCAGUGAUUAUAAGAAUGAGAUAAUGGAUGUAAGUGAUGAUGAAUUUGAAGAACCUGAUAUUGUCAUUAGUGCAGAGCCACUUGACAGUGGUGUGCUCACUCAACUUGUUAGCAGUCCAAUUAAGCAGCCCAGGUCUAGAAGAACUUUAGAAGCUAAUGAUGUUGUUCAAGUGCGAGAUUCCCAAUUUGUCAUUUCUCAAGUGUGCAAUCCAGAUGAAGUGCCAGUUCAAGCACCAGAGCAAGUCAAUGCUCAGAGUACAUACCUUAGGUUGAGAUUAGACAAACCCACAAGCCGUGAUGUGAGAGCCCAGAGGGGGGAUACUUGCCAAUUAGUAGAUCAGCCCGUGGAGUUGUGGUCAACUCAUACUGGCGCGUGGAAUCCUUCAUCUGUCAGGUCGUCGCUGAUGCUCAUGCGACAGAUAGAGGGAGAGGAGAAGGAGUGGGGCUAUGAUUCAUCUGAUGAGGAUUAUUCUUAUGAUGAAGAUUCUGAUGGGAAAAUGGUUAGGAGGAAGAGCAAGUAUCCCAGAUACAACAAUGACACAGAUAUUCCACACUUUUCAUUAACAAUGGUGUUAAGAAACAAGAAUCAACUUGUGAAGGCAUUGAAGAGAUAUGGAAUUGUUACCAAGAGGAGCAUUGUGUUCAUGAAAUCAGAGGCAAACAGAGUCAGAGCUAAGUGUGGAUGGCCUGGGUGCCCUUGGUUGAUUUAUGGAGCCAAAACCUCAAGAACAAGCAGGUUUCAGAUUAUUACUUUUAAUGAUGAGCAUGAAUGUGCACAAAAUAGAGAGAACAGACUUGUGACAGCAAAGUUAGGGUUCAAGGCUGGCUGCAGGAAAGUAAUAGGAUUAGAUGGAUGUUUUUUCAAAGGGGUUGUGAAAGGAGAGUUGCUGUGUGCUGUUGGUAGAGAUGACAACAAUCAAAUGUAUCCACUGGCAUGGGUUGUUGUUGAGAAGGAAACACAUGAAAGCUGGAAGUGGUUUAUUGGCUUGCUUAUUAAAGAUCUUGACAUUAAUAACAAUGGAUCUGGAUGGGUGCUCAUUUUAGAUCAGCUGAAGGGACUGAUUAAUGCUAUGAAGGACUAUCUGCCAAAUGCAGAGCACAAAAUAAAAAGGCAGUAUACAGUGAGUCUUGACAAUAGGACAUACUCAUGUGGCUACUUCCAGCUGGCAGGUUGGUCCAUCUUCACAACCUUCUCAAUCAGCAACUAUGGUAGCACCAAUGUCUACCCCAAGAUCAUCUCCAUCUAUGACAGCUACUGCACCAACCUGCAACAGGAACUGCCCGAAGAUCAUUUGGAACUAUGCCAAGUACUGCAGCUUCAAGGUUUAAACCUCCCAGGAAGUCAUCAGCAAAUGCACAAGCUGGACCAUCUACUAUAA